rnacentral:rRNA from 1 species
GGGGGGGUUUCCGCCCCUUAGUGCUGCAGCUAACGCAUUAAGCACUCCGCCUGGGGAGUACGGUCGCAAGACUGAAACUCAAAGGAAUUGACGGGGGCCCGCACAAGCGGUGGAGCAUGUGGUUUAAUUCGAAGCAACGCGAAGAACCUUACCAGGUCUUGACAUCCUCUGACAAUCCUAGAGAUAGGACGUCCCCUUCGGGGGCAGAGUGACAGGUGGUGCAUGGUUGUCGUCGCUCGUG